AUGAUGAUGAAGAGUGUCGUGGUGGAAAGAUGUGUGGGGUGGGAUGGUUUUAUAGAAAGGAUAUUGGAAGGUAGCUCAACAUCACGUGUUUCACUCAAACCUAAACAUUAUGAGAAGGUGAAUUUUUAUCUAUUAAACUCAACAACCAAUCAAGUGGGUACGUACCGAUACAACGAUGGGAGCCUAAGUCUGUUAACUCUCAACUUAAUGACUUUGUCUUAA